UUAAUAGUUAUGUUCUUUAAAUUUAAAAAAUUUGGCGGUAUUUUAGUCUUAAAAAGGAAUCUGUUUAUUAAUUGAUAAUCCACGAUUAAUUUUACUUAUUUUAAUUAAUUCAUAUAUCGCUGUCAUGAAUAUAUUUUAAAAAAUUUAUUUUCUUUAAUUAUUUUAAUAAUUUAUGUUAAGUCAAGAUGUGGUUUAUAAAUAAGAAUAUAAUGGAUUACAUUAAAUUUUAUUUUUGGAUUUUGAAUGAAAAUUAAAAUGAAAUUGGAUUUAAUAGUAAGUUUAAUUAUUUUAUUAAUAUGAAUAAAGAUCUAAAAUAUGUACAUAUUGCCCGUCAUUCUUAUUAAAAAUAAGACAAGUCGUAACAAAGUAAAUGUACUGGAAAGUGUAUUUAGAAAGAUUAAAUUUAUUAAAA
rnacentral:rRNA from 1 species